rnacentral:rRNA from 1 species
GUGGGGAAUAUUGCACAAUGGGCGCAAGCCUGAUGCAGCAACGCCGCGUGAGGGACGACGGCCUUCGGGUUGUAAACCUCUUUUAGCAGGGAAGAAGCGAAAGUGACGGUACCUGCAGAAAAAGCACCGGCUAACUACGUGCCAGCAGCCGCGGUAAUACGUAGGGUGCAAGCGUUGUCCGGAAUUAUUGGGCGUAAAGAGCUCGUAGGCGGUCUGUCGCGUCUGCUGUGAAAACUGGAGGCUCAACCUCCAGCCUGCAGUGGGUACGGGCAGACUAGAGUGCGGUAGGGGAGAUUGGAAUUCCUGGUGUAGCGGUGUAAUGCGCAGAUAUCAGGAGGAACACCGAUGGCGAAGGCAGAUCUCUGGGCCGUAACUGACGCUGAGGAGCGAAAGCGUGGGGAGCGAACAGGAUUAGAUACCCCGGUAGUCC